rnacentral:rRNA from 1 species
AACGAACGCUGGCGGCAGGCUUAACACAUGCAAGUCGAACGGGCCCUUCGGGGUCAGUGGCAGACGGGUGAGUAACGCGUGGGAACGUGCCCUUCAGUUCGGGAUAACCCAGGGAAACUUGGGCUAAUACCGGAUACGUGCGAGAGCAGAAAGAAUUAUCGCUGAAGGAUCGGCCCGCGUCUGAUUAGCUAGUUGGUAGGGUAAUGGCCUGCCAAGGCGACGAUCAGUAGCUGGUCUGAGAGGAUGAUCAGCCACAUUGGGACUGAGACACGGCCCAAACUCCUACGGGAGGCAGCAGUGGGGAAUAUUGGACAAUGGGCGCAAGCCUGAUCCAGCCAUGCCGCGUGAGUGAUGACGGCCUUAGGGUUGUAAAGCUCUUUCGGCGGGGACGAUAAUGACGGUACCCGCAGAAGAAGCCCCGGCUAACUUCGUGCCAGCCGCCGCCGUAAUAC